rnacentral:rRNA from 1 species
GACAGAGGAUGCAAGCGUUAUCCGGAAUGAUUGGGCGUAAAGCGUCUGUAGGUGGCUUUUUAAGUCCGCCGUCAAAUCCCAGGGCUCAACCCUGGACAGGCGGUGGAAACUACCAAGCUGGAGUACGGUAGGGGCAGAGGGAAUUUCCGGUGGAGCGGUGAAAUGCGUAGAGAUCGGAAAGAACACCAACGGCGAAAGCACUUUACUGGGCUAUUACUGACACUGAGAGACGAAAGCUAGGGUAGCAAAUAGGGAU